rnacentral:lncRNA from 1 species
UGUUAGAUUUCCUGUUGGAAUAGGAGAUAGCAAUAGUUUGGCGCUGGAUGUGUCAUGUACCUUUUUGAAGUGUUGGCAUCUUUCUUCAACCCAACUUUUCAAAAAAAUGGGGGAAAAUGCAUAAGUACCCCCCUUAACCUAUACCCGAAAUUCCAGAGACACUUAUACUUGAUAGUGCCACAUAGGCCGAAAAGGGGUAAAAAAUUAUUUAUAAAAUAAAUUAAGGAGGGUAAUAGGACCUUAGUAUAAUAUAAGUGUGUCUCUGAAAUUUCGGGCAUAGGUUAGGGGUACUUAUGCAUUUUCCCAAAAAAUGGUGCUAGGUCUAAAGGUGGAAGCUAAAAUUUUCUGGAAAAACAAAUGAGAGGAAUAAACAAUGGAGAAAAGAAAGUACAUAUAUAUAAACAAACAAUUGAGAGGAAUAAAUGACAAUAGAAAAGAAAAUACACAAUUAUAUAUAAACAUAAUACACAGAGUUAUAUAUUAAUUUAAGAUCUAAGAAUAUAUAUUAGAUAAACUCCCCGAUUUUAUCCAAACAGACAUAUUACAUGAGGACCGCUACUAACAUAAAUCACAAAUUUGAAUGAUUCAAAUUGAAAGAGGGCCAAGCAAAAAGGUUUGGAACCAUGUUCUUCAACAUGUACUCGGAAAAUGUCUAUAACUUCACAACCUCAUUAUAAAAUUUCAUUAGAUCAGCAUACAACCCCACAUUAACAUGGGAAAUUAAAAAAAUUAAAAGAUAAAGCUUCAAUAAACUCAAUCGAAAAGGUAGACAACGUAACCCACAUCUAUAAAAGAAUCAGAACAGAGAAACACAUAAAUUGAUAAAUAAGAGAUAAAGAGGAACAAUUGCUAAUGAUCAUGGACCAAUAAUUGAAAGGUGAACAACUCAUUCUGAAAGUCAAGUAUCAUUAAACAUGAAAUUGCAACAAGCAUUAUAACAAAAGGCUUUACUUAGUAGUAAAAUAAACUACUUCAUGUAUCCAUCUUCAACUAUCUUUGAGAAUGAUAAACGUUAAACAAACUCAUUACUAUAAUUAUUGUGAGUGAACUUAUGAAACACUCAGUAGUAUAGGUUUUUAGUGCCUAUAUGACCAAGUUUAGGGAUAAACAAUUUUUUUGAAUAUUUAGUCGUGAAAUUAAAUAGAAGCCGAACCAAGAACCAAUACCCCAAUUUAUAGAAGUAUAACAUAAUUACAAGACAACCAUAAAUAUAGUAACAAUUACAUUAUAAAGAUGGAAAAAAUAACUAAGAACAAAAAUUGUGAACUCUCACAUUAAAAUUUUCAAUCAAAGUUGGGUAAAUUCAACAUUGCUUACACCGGGGACAAAUCAGUACUCUUGAUGGUUCACUUGGCCCGAACAGUCAUAAGAGGAAGUAGGAAAAUGGAAGGUAAUAGUCAAAUUAAUCAUCAAUACAACGUAACAACCUACAACUUAUAACUAAGCACCAUUUCAAAACUCAGAAAAUUAAGAGAAGAAAAGAUAUCAGCGGAAGAAUGAGAAUAAGAAUGUUUCAGAAAAACCACCAGUUGUUACCUUGUCCAAAAUUGAAGCUUCAGCAGAUGAUCAUUACUUUGCUCGCAUAUGAAAGUUGUUACGAAUGCAAGAGCAAUUUGUUUCUACAAAUCAAAGUAAAUGGAUGAAAAAUCUAAAAUGAAGAUUCAAAGAGGGGAUGAAAGAAAAACUACACAAAUGAACAACAAUUUGUUUCUACAAAUCAAAGUAA